rnacentral:rRNA from 1 species
GUACACGCUGUGACUAGCAUAUCAAUAAGCGGAGGAAAAGAAACUAACAAGGAUUCCCCUAGUAACGGCGAGUGAAGCGGGAAGAGCUCAAAUUUGAAAUCUUAAAGGGUUUCCCUUUACGAAUUGUAGUUUAAAGAAGUGCUUUUCUGUUGAGGUUUUGGUAAAAGUUCUUUGGAAUAGGACAUCAUAGAGGGUGAGAAUCCCGUAUUUGACCUUUACUUUCAACUUUGUGAUACACUUUCAAAGAGUCGGAUUGUUUGGGAAUGCAGUCCAAAAUGGGUGGUAAAUUUCAUCUAAAGCUAAAUAUUGGCGAGAGACCGAUAGCGAACAAGUACCGUGAGGGAAAGAUGAAAAGAACUUUGAAAAGAGAGUUAAACAGUACGUGAAAUUGUCAAAAGGGAAGCGUUUGACACCAGUGUUGUUUUUCUGAAAAUCAAUUAAAGAACUGUUUAUGCUAAGCUGUUUAGACUUUAUCAGCUAUCUGCUUAGUUUUGAGCUUUUCUUUAAUGCACUUUUCAGUUAACAAGUCAACAUCAAUUUCUUUUGCUGUAAAAAAGCUUGAGGAAGGUGGCUUGAGAUUCGUCUUAAGUGUUUAUAGCCUCUUGCCUAUGCAGUCGGAGAGAUUGAGGUCUGCAGCGUAGAUCCUUCGGGGCUAAAUGCAUUUGUGCUAAGUUAUAGCAUUUUAUAGACAACUUGUUGACUAUGAUUUGUCUUGUAGCUUACUCGCUUAUGUUAUUUUACCUACGCUUAGGAUGUUGACGCAUGAGAUAUACGC